UAUUUAGAUAAUGGGAGUGUGCUGUGUUCAAAAUUUUAAUAAAACAAAUAAAAUAGUAAACAAUUUCCAUAUAUUUUAUCACAAAUGUUAACAUUAUCAAACCUAUAGCCAAUCUAGUACCCAUACCCACCACUUCAUCUUAUUAUUUUAGAAACACAAACCCACAUAUCCCGAAAUUAUCUUUAUAUUUAGAUAAUGUAUCAACUUAUAUAUCGGGAUAUAUUGUACACCAACUUAUUAAAGAAAAAAAGCUACGUUGUGAUGUUUGCAUUACAGCAAUGGCACAAAUCUCUUUAUUGAUCUUUGUGAUCAUAUCAUUGAACAUGAAAUUGGGUACAGCCAUUUUCAAAUUCUUGUAAAAUUAAUUGUUCAAAAAUAUUUAAAUAUUAGAUUUUAUCAUUUUGCUGACUUAAGAAACCAGGAAUUGAGAACUGGUAUGUGGCAGAAUCUUACGAAAGCAAUACAAUUUAAUAAUCAAUAAGUGAUGAUAUAAUCAAAAAUGACGAAAAUGUACUCAAAAAUAAUAUGAAAGUGAAUUGUUGCAAUAUCUUUUCCUUUUCAAGGCCUAUACAUUUAUAUCAUUAUAUACUUAUUAAAUAUACUUUAAAUAAAUGAUUUAUAUAAUAUAAUUUAUA